GACGAACGCUGGCGGCGUGCUUAACACAUGCAAGUCGAACGGAAAGGCCCCCUUGUGGGGUACUCGAGUGGCGAACGGGUGAGUAACACGUGAGUAACCUACCCUUGACUUUGGGAUAACUUCAGGAAACUGGGGCUAAUACCGGAUAGGAGCUCCUGCUGCAUGGUGGGGGUUGGAAAGUUUCGGCGGUUGGGGCUGGACUCGCGGCUGAUCAGCUUGUUGGUGGGGUAGUGGCUCACCAAGGCUUUGACGGGUAGCCGGCCUGGGAGGGUGACCGGCCACAUUGGGCCUGAGAUACGGCCCAGACUCCUACGGGAGGCAGCAGUGGGGAAUAUUGCACAAUGGGCGGAAGCCUGAUGCAGCAACGCCGCGUGCGGGAUGACGGCCUUCGGGUUGUAAACCGCUUUCGCCUGUGACGAAGCGUGAGUGACGGUAAUGGGUAAAGAAGCACCGGCUAACUACGUG
rnacentral:rRNA from 1 species